CCAGGAGAAGCGGGAGUGCCGGAGGCUGGAGAAGGUGGAGAGGGACCGGGCUGAGGCCAAGCUGGAGGCCGAAAUAAGAACCUAUAACCCAUGGGGCCGGGGAGGGUGCGGCGCACCCCUUAGAGACACCCGAGGGGACCUCAUUACUGACCUGAAGCAUAUGCACAGGCAGAAUGAGGAAGCUUGGCUUAACCCCGAGACCUCUCAGAAUAAAGCCACAGUCACCAGGCCCACCCAGAGAGAGGACAGACUGCCUCCCAUCAACACAGUCUCAGGUUUUGCCCCUGUCCGGACCUCCAUGUAUGCCAGAGGAAAUGUGUUUCCUAACCAGCCAACGCUUCAUCAACUCACUGAACUGGAUAAGUAUAAGCUUUGUCUAAAACAACAGGUACAGUGUGAUAUGGUUUGUGAUGUGUUAUGUUUACAUUUCAAGACCCUGGCCUCUUGUGGCUGUAGGGUCUUGUAGCAACAAGCCAUUGAUUUGAAGGUUGUUGUGUACUGUACACAAACACACACACAGGUACAUGAUGUUGUAUAACAAACUGUUUACCUCUCGGGCCCUGCCCAGAUUGAGGAGAAGCACCUUAAGCAGGCAGAGGAGAGGGAGAAGCUACGCCUGGAGGAGGUGAAGGAGGAGAGGAGGCUGGCAGAGCAGAGGGCUCAAAUCAAGAGGGAGUUUGACGAGAAUCAGGAGAUCCGAAGACUCAAGGAGAUGAAGCAAACGGCCAAAAACAAGGAGCUGGUCCGUCUUGUAGAGAAGAAGAAGACAGAGCUGGAGGAG